GAGGAACCUUGACUAUGUCAUCU
rnacentral:siRNA from 1 species